GCGAAUAUCCAAAUGAGAUACAGUAUUAUUGACUUAGUCUGAAUACUGUACUUUUUCUCUUAUUCGAACAAUGUAGCAAGAGAAGCAGGCAUUGGCGGGUGAUUGAUAACUUGAGAGAACCAAUAAAAAUGUGCAGAUGAACAACUGGCAACGCCCAAAACGGGAAUACGAAUGAGGAUGGCACUGGGCGUUUCUUUGUGGAAGGCUCGCGUCCCAGACAGAGAAAGAASAAGGAUGAGAUAUUGAAACAGGCAGAAAGUCUCCGUCUAGAAUUUAAAGAUCAAGUAAGGCUGGCUGCAAAGGAGUUUCUAUCCCGAAGUGAUCUUGUGAAGUGCCAACCUCUGUGUGAGCAAAUUUGCACCAACGCAACGAAGCUUGAGUUCCUAAAGAGGGUGCUCUACGAGCUGCUCAUUGAACAUCAUUCAGCCAAAGUCAUCACAACGUGAGAGCGAGUAGGCAUGGUAUGGUGGUUUGAUGACAGGCUCUAAGGUGGUACAGUGAAGGGGUGGAGCGUGAUGAGCCUUCUGGCACACAAACUGAAAGACAGA